GUGAGAGAAACAGUGGAUGUGUGUGGCAGUUUCUGACCAGGGUGUCUCUGUGUUUGCAGGUGUCCAGUGUGAGGUGCAGCUGGUGGAGUCUGGGGGAGGCUUGGUCCAGCCUGGGGGGUCCCUGAGACUCUCCUGUGUGGCCUCUGGAUUCACCUUCAGCAGCUAUGGCAUGCACUGGGCCCGCCAGGCUCCAGGAAAGGGGCUGGAGUGGGUCUCAGCUAUUAGUAGCAGUGGUAGUUACACAUACUACGCAGACUCCGUGAAGGGCCGAUUCACCAUCUCCAGAGACAACGCCAAGAACUCGCUGUGUCUAUAGGCGGCCUGAGAGCCGAGGACACGGCCAUGUAUUACUGUGCAAAAGACACACAGUGAGGGGAGGCCCGUGUG